AAAGUGAGAUUCUACCGAAUGGCUUCUUAUCAUUCUCGAGUUUGGUGGAUUUUGUUCGUUGUUUUUGUUUUGUUUUCAGGUAAUAAGAACAUGUUAUUUUUAUGUCUUCCAUUUCAUUUUUCUAAUAUUAAUUAAUCAUGAACAUGUUAUUAUCAUAAUUUGAAAUCAUAGUUUAUUGGAUUCCUUAAACUUUAUUCUUGUUGCAGGAUUCACAACUAGUAUUGAUCCUCCAGGAUAUAAGUGCAAUAAGGAAUGCAUAACUGAUGAAGCAUGCAAUAAGUAUUGCACAUUUUUUUGGCCAUAAAAGUGGUUAAUGUCUAUAUCCCAAACUCAUGCGUUGUUGCUGUCAUACCUAAUGUUAUUGUACUCUUCAAUACAUCUUAAUGAAUAAAAUGCAUAUGAAUUGUUGGAAGGUUUUUAAAACCCAAUUGUCUUCCUUCUGAAAUCCAUAGAAGCUAUUAGUGUUAUAAAUCGAUAGAGUUGAAUGAAUUCAGGUUUAAAUCAUGAUUGGUAUCAUUUUCUUUAAAAGUAUUUGAAGCACUAUUUUUAUAGUUUUAGAGUAUGAACGCAAGAAUAUCCAGAAAAUGUGUCUGGAAUACAAUACCUUUUCAGUAUAGGUUUGCAAUAGUUCGUCUAUGGAUACAUUAUGCACAACUUCAAGAAGUGUUGCAUAUUUCGAUUUAGAAAUUCAAAUUCUAAGCAACGACCUAAACCAUGAGUAAUAACGCCGCGAGUAGCUCGAUUGCUUCAAUGUGUCGCGCCUAAGUGCUCAAUUGUCCCCUACAAGUCGUCACUAGUACCUCUACGCGCACGCCCUCGGACCCGGCCUCGAAGCCGGUGAGGGGUUGUUUGGAUGACACAUGUGGCACAAUGUUUGGGACCACCACAUUUGUUCAUGUGAGACUUUAUCAUCUUUAACUCCUUUGUUGAGUUUAAUGUUUUUAAGUCUUUAUAAAUGCUUUUAAAGUGAGCACCACUUUCUAUGUGGGACUAUUGGAAAUGCAUUUAUUGUCAUUAACUCAAUUGCACACUUCUUGUCAUAUUGAAACACUCCAAUGGGAAUUAAUCAUCAAUAAUUUUCAACAAUCCCCCACUUGUUCUAAUAAUUACAAGACCAAUUUCAGAAAAGAGAAAUAAAGAAUGUUAAUACAAUUAAGUAUCUUUUGAUUUGAACUUAACCUUAGUAUGGGUAGCGCAAAGUCUAAUCAUAAUGUUAGGUAUCAAUGCUUUGAACUAUUAUCCCUUGUGAUUAUACCAGUGUUACCUUACACACACUCUUUAAUGGUUCUUCGUCUGCAUCUCUCGUCUAGCACUAUUUAUGGCCAUGUGUUUUUCUUGAAUUUUUCAAGAGAGAAACUCCAACUCUCACUUUGAGACAACACCAUCUCGAAAUUCAUAUAGGUGAAGUUCAUUUUGUAUCUAUUUCUUAAGAUACAUGUGUAAGACCUCAAUUUUGACCCUAAGAUCCCUCAUGCUAUCUCAUCAUAUGCAUUGGCAUUGGGAUAACAUCUUGGCAUCCUCCUUACCCCUCGUUCAUUGGGUUUGCAUUGGGAGAAAUCACCAAGCACAUUUGAUUGUAUUAUACUUUGUAUUUUAUCAUCUUUACUAACCAAAAUACCAAAAAUAUGUCUUUGUAUAAACUAACUCUUUUGUAGGUAGGGCAUGUGCUCACCUUUGAUCUAUCAAGCUCACAUAUAGGGUUUAAGACCCUCAAUGCAAAGAGUUCAAUCAAGAAUUGGUUUAAUAUGGCUCUAAGCAUCAUAUAUGAAUCCCCAUGGUCUUCACAUGUUAUUUUGAUCAAGAAAUCAUCAAAAGUUUGGAGUUGGUUUGCCUUGGAAACCCUAAUUCAUCUGGGUAUCUUGUGUAACUUCUGCAACAAGCUUAUUCAUCAAUUGAUCAAAUAUUUCAAGGGAUACUUCAAACUUCAUCAUCUUAUGCAUAUAUGAUCCUCCAUGAUUCCCAAAAGUCAAGAGAAUGGCAAGCUAGAAAGUUGGUUCAUGGGGGUUGACCAGAGGAAUUCAUCUGAUCAAAACUGGGGUUCCCUAGACCCCAUCUCCUACAAUUUUUGUCAUAUGAAAAUGAUUCCAAGAGUAACGUUACUCUAAAUAACAUUCCCAACAACUUUCAUGUUAAGGUCUAGAGCUAGUUUUUCUUGGAAAGUCAUUUUAUAUGGUGAAAGAUUAUAGGUCAUUUUGUCUAAACCCUAAUUUGGAGGUCAACUUCCCAAGGACAUAACUUGCUAAAAUGUAUUAGAUGAAAUAUUUAAAAGUUGCACAAUAAACUUCAAGAUGUCUACUUCAACUUUGAUGUUUGGAGGAAGAGCAAAUUCAACUUUUAUGUGCAUGUGAUAUGAGGAUACAUUAUAGGUCAUUUUGGACCAAUGCCAUUGAAUAAGUGAUUUUCCUCAACUUCAAAAAUGCAUAACUCCUUCAUAUUAAAUCCAAAUAAGGUCAAAUUUGUGACCAUGUUUAAGUAAUUUGAGAGAUCUACAACUUUUAUGAAGGAAAGUUUCUUAUUUUAAGCUCACAUGAAAAGUUAGCCAAG
rnacentral:lncRNA from 1 species